CGGGCAAUAGCUCAGUGGUAGAGCUCCCGCGUCGUAUGCGGGAAGGCCUGACUUCGAUUCCCGGCUGCUUAU
rfam:Toxocara canis scaffold398, whole genome shotgun sequence.